UACGGAGGAUGCGAGCGUUAUCCGGAUUUAUUGGGUUUAAAGGGUGCGUAGGCGGAUUAAUAAGUCAGUGGUGAAAUCCUGCAGCUUAACUGUGGAACUGCCAUUGAUACUGUUAGUCUUGAGUAUGGUCAAGGUAGGCGGAAUGUGUAAUGUAGCGGUGAAAUGCUUAGAUAUUACACAGAACACCGAUUGCGAAGGCAGCUUACUGGGCCAUUACUGACGCUGAUGCACGAAAGCGUGGGGAUCGAACAGGA
rnacentral:rRNA from 1 species